AGGAUAAACGCUGGCGGCGUGCCUAACACAUGCAAGUCGAACGCGCUUACUAUCCGCGAGGAGGGUGAGCGAGUGGCGGACGGGUGAGGAACACGUGGGUGACCUACCUUUCAGUGAGGGAUACCGGCGAGAAAUUGCCGACAAGACCGCAUACGCUUCUCUCUUCAAGGGGAGAAGGAAAGCUUUUCGCAAGAGAGGCGCUGGGAGAUGGGCCUGCGGCCGAUUAGCUAGCUGGUGGGGUAAUGGCCUACCAGGGCGACGAUCGGUAGCUGGUCUGAGAGGACGAUCAGCCACACUGGGAUUGAGAACGGCCCAGACUCCUACGGGGGGCAGCAGUGAGGAAUUUUCGGCAAUGGGGGCAACCCUGACCGAGCAACGCCGCGUGCAGGACGACGGCCUUCGGGUUGUAAACUGCUUUUCUCUGGGACGAGCAAGGACGGUACCAGAGGAAGAAGCCCCGGCUAACUACGCGCCAGCAGCCGCGGU
rnacentral:rRNA from 1 species